CAGCCGCCGCGGUAAUACAGAGGGUGCGAGCGUUAAUCGGAUUUACUGGGCGUAAAGCGUGCGUAGGCGGCUUCUUAAGUCGGAUGUGAAAUCCCUGAGCUUAACUUAGGAAUUGCAUUCGAUACUGGGAAGCUAGAGUAUGGGAGAGGAUGGUAGAAUUCCAGGUGUAGCGGUGAAAUGCGUAGAGAUCUGGAGGAAUACCGAUGGCGAAGGCAGCCAUCUGGCCUAAUACUGACGCUGAGGUACGAAAGCAUGGGGAGCAAACAGGAUUAGAUACCCCAGAAGUCCCUGUCUCUUAUAC
rnacentral:rRNA from 1 species